AAUUUUUCACAAUGGGCGCAAGCCUGAUGACGCAACGCCGCGUGGGGGAUGAAGGCCUUCGGGUCGUAAACCCCUGUCGAAUGGGACGAAUAGCCCGCGAUCUAACAGAACGCGGGAUUGACGGUACCGUUAAAGGAAGCCACGGCUAACUCUGUGCCAGCAGCCGCGGUCAUACGGAGGGUCCAAGCGUUAUCCGGAAUUACUGGGCGUAAAGAGUUGCGUAGGCGGUUAAGUAAGUGAAUAGUGAAACUGUGUGGCUCAACCAUGCACCCAUUAUUCAAACUGCUUUGACUAGAGAAUGGAAGAGGUUGCUAGAAUUCCUAGUGUAGGGGUGAAAUCCGUAGAUAUUAGGAGGAAUACCGAUGGCGUAGGCAGGCAACUGGUCCAUUUCUGACGCUCAGGCACGAAAGCGUGGGGAGCGAUC
rnacentral:rRNA from 1 species